CUAUGGCAGUGGUUUACUUAAAAUCUUUUCACAGAUAAGUCUGAGGAGACUGCAUAAUGUACCUCUAACGCCUGUGAAGAAUUAUUUUGGUUUUCAUUUACACAUUGUAUAUGUGCAGAUAUAAGUAUCAAGGAACUUGGCCAUGCACAGCUCGGCAAGCUGAAUGUUGAUUGACCACCCUUACCAUUAGAUUUUAAUGUAAUGUAAUUAUUAUUAUCUCUUGAUAAUUUAACUUAAUCAGUUUAAUCGAUUCUAGAGUAAUGUGAAGAUUGUUGUAAUGUGUAUGUCAUGUGCGUAGGUAUAUGUUGCUACAUAGGUUACACGUUCACUCUACCAAAUGGGUAGUUUAUUUUUAUAUCUUAACACGUGUGACUGACAGCUGAACUUGCGUGAAUAUUUCGGUGCACUUAAUCUUAUGCUGUCCGUGCGACCGCAGAGUCCGCUGAGAUGGCUCGGAUUGCACGCAUCAGUGUAUGAAAUGCUGCGUCGCGCAGGCUCAUGAUUAAGAGCCCCGAAUGGGUUCUAAACGAGUCUGGCAAUCUUCUACGAAAAUUCAAAUUAGUUCAGCCGUCAAUUACAUAUUUGUAAUGAACUUUACUCACGAUAGUUUGAAUUUUAUCUUAAGAUAACUUAUAUUUUAUUUAAGUGCCGAAACACACUGAGCGCGAGAGCAAUAGCUGUGCAAUGUUUUCAUGAAAAAUUCGCAGUGACAACAAAAACAUUAAGUUCCUACAUAAUAUUGACACAUACGUUCAUUUGCACAUAUAUGGGUCAUUUUCGAAAAAUGUAUAUUGCUUUAAAAUGCUUAUCCGACGUAUUCAUUAUAUUAUGUAAUUAAAAACAGAUCGUGUUGCAUUUAUGGCUCAUUUAAAAAGAAAUGUCCUUUGCACCAUGGACCAUGGCAUAUUGAGAACAUUAUGGGAUUAACUUUGAUUUGAUUUGAAACGUUUACACAAGCAGAAAGUUAAAAAGGUACAAAUUGUAACCAUAAUUCGCACUACGGAUUUAUAAUACAUAAGUAUUGUGCAUAAUUUAUGAAUAUUAUUGACUAUUUAAGUUACCUAUAUUUUGUCUCAUUGACUUACUUUUCGCUUUGUCCUUGAACAAAGGCGUAUUGUUAUAUUUUUAUAAAGAUGGCGUUUUAACGUUGAUUUGAUCCCUUUGCAAUUUUUUUAAAGUAUUCGUGUACCUACCUUCAGUUUACGUUACAGUAAAUGUAACUAACUCACAUUUGGGAUGUCACGUAUCAGUUUAGUCACAAACAUUGAUCACGUUUGUCACAUGUGCAUUUGUUUGAAAAUGACUCAUUCUUAUACAGGUGCAAAUGUCAAGUCAUUAACUUUAGUUAGGGCUGUCAAUUUUUAGAUUAAUUUUAUAUGAAAUGUGAAAUAUAAGUUUAUUUUAUUUUUUUAAAUAAGUUAUAUCUAUAAAUCGAUUGUUAAUGAUAUUUUAUAUAGGUGGUUUCUCAAUACCCCAAUUUCAAUUAAAAGUCAAGUAGAAAUGCAUAUGUUUAGCCUUUUGAGAUGCGUCUGUGGUAUUAACUGUGAAGUGAAUAAGGAUCUAUUAGAAGUCAGCUUUGUAUUAUACGGUAUUUAAAUAUUUUCGCGAUAAAAAGUGCUCCACAGGUGCACCCUACCUGUCUCCGUGCCAAAUUUCAUUAGGAUCGUUGCGGUCGAGCCGAACAUAGGUUACAAAUUAACAAACAGACAGCAUUUAUUAUAUUGCUGAGUGCAAACCAAGUAACACGAGACACGACUGCAACACCAUUUCACACUUAAAGUAAUGACGUAUAGUACAAUACACUUUUUUCUAACUUUUCUUAUAAUGUAAUGUUAAUCUUUUCAUUCCUGUAUGCAGGUGUGUUUUUAAAAUUUUCUUAACAAUUAAAAUUAAAAUUUACUGUAACUGUACGGUCUUCGCGUAACGCAAUGCAAAUCGAGUUUAGCCGGAAACGCUGUGUUUCGGCACUUAUUGCGCAUUUUUACUAUACAGUCGCCGUAAGAAGCGUACUCAUAGGUCACGCAAAAACAUUCGUUUGCGAAACAAGCAUUCUCUUAAGAGGACAAUUUUUUAGUAAGCAGUUUUUACCAAAAAAAAAAAAAUAACAAAAAUAUGUCCUUGCGUGACAAACGCUUGCGCAACGAAUGCUCGCAAAACUAAAAGAACAGUACAUUUAGUGGAUAGUAAUGAAGAACUUAAUUAUAUUUAAAAAAGUGAAGUCAUUAAUAAUAGUUUUAAUCAACAUACUAGUUGGAAUCUACAUUUUAUAUUUUUUCAUCAAACAAUUUUGUAAACAUGUAAAUUAUUCUUUCUCAUGUAUGAAUAUUUAUCGAAUUACUUAUAUUUUAAGAAUAUUAGGUGUGAAAUUCAUUUAUUUAUUUAUUAAUAUACAUUAUUUAAUAACUCGAAACGCAGUUCAGAUUACGAUUUCCUUUACCCAUGUAUCAUCAUAACUAUGAAUGAGCACCGGAAGGUCCAAGUCAAUAAUAAAAGUCCUAAUAUAAAUUUAAAUGGCGGACGUUUUGUCCUUUUCCCGCAAAAUAGAUUUUUUUAAAGCCUUACUGAAUUUAUUACGCCACAAACAUGCCUUAAAAUGUAAACCAUUUUUUUCACAACUUUUAAGUGUAAAGUAUAUUUUAAAAAUAAAAUAAAAUGAAUAAAAAGAGGUUUGAUAUUUUUAAAAGAUCCUAUACACUUGCAGUACCUAAAUUGUUUCAAUUACUGGACAAGUAAAAUAAAAUGGCAUAUAUGAAUUCUUUCCAAUCAGCAAAAUUCAAAUUAAUUUAAUUUAUAAACAUACAAUAACUAACAUGGAUGUAAAAUCUACGAAAAGUACAAUUUAAAGACGUGGUUUAUAGAGAAGUGGCUCUCACACCAUUAUAUGUAUGUCAAUGUAGGGCCACGUCCCGGCUAUAGCUUGAAGAUGUCCGCGCCACUUCAAAUACCUCGCAAUCAUGAAAUUAAAUAGACUUAUCUGUGUGACUCAUUACUAUGAGGUGUAUUUGUGGUAUUGUAUGUAAUAGAGAAUUAAUUAAAUUUUUGCAAUGUG